ACUCCCUUUCAUUCUUCCCCUCCCACCACACACACACACACACACACACACACACACACACCCGGACCCAGACAGCCCACUCCACUUUCCAGACGCCCACCUCCUACAUACUCCCCUCCCCUAAACAGACAUUCACCCACUAGCCAUCUGUAGCCUCCUUCCGCCCCCCGCCCCGCCUGCCUGGCUCCCCCUCCCCAAGAAGCAGACCUGCACAGUGGGACGCAGGGACCCCCGCCAGACGCUCGGGUAGUGCACGCCGCACUGACCUCGGCCCGCCCCGCCAGGAAACUAACAAAGGCGGGCGCGAGCCCGGAGCCCAGGAGCGGCGAGCUGCGGCCGCGGGGCCAGGGAGCCUGGGCCGGGCCGGGCGGGGACUACUCCGGAGUCAGGAGGCAGCAGCUGCGGAGGACGCGAAUCUCUGGCAGUCAGCGCCGCUCGGACGCUGCCGGCACCAUGGGCUGCUGCACCGGACGCUGCUCGCUCAUCUGCCUCUGCGCGCUGCAGUUGAUCUCAGCAUUAGAGAGGCAGAUCUUUGACUUCCUUGGUUUCCAGUGGGCUCCUAUUCUUGGAAAUUUUCUGCACAUAAUAGUUGUCAUAUUGGGUUUGUUUGGAACCAUUCAGUACAGACCUCGAUACAUAAUGGUGUAUACAGUGUGGACUGCCCUCUGGGUCACCUGGAAUGUGUUCAUUAUCUGCUUUUAUUUGGAAGUAGGUGGACUCUCAAAGGACACCGAUCUAAUGACAUUCAAUAUCUCUGUACAUCGGUCAUGGUGGAGAGAACACGGGCCUGGUUGUGUCAGAAGAGUGCUGCCUCCCUCAGCCCAUGGCAUGAUGGACGAUUACACGUACGUCUCCGUCACAGGCUGCAUCGUUGACUUCCAGUACCUGGAGGUCAUCCACAGUGCUGUCCAAAUACUACUCUCUUUGGUGGGUUUUGUGUAUGCCUGUUAUGUGAUCAGUAUUUCCAUGGAAGAAGAAGACACAUAUUCAUUUGAUCUGCCAGUAUGCAAACAUCUUUUUAUCCAGAUGCUGCAAAUCAUUGAACAGAGCAAGAGUUAGUAAGAUAUUAUCACCAAAUUGUCACAUCAGUCAGGCCUCAUGUGCUUCCUAAGAACUGAGGUGAUGCAUUACUUUAGAUAGAGUGUCAUCCUAAACCCCAGAUUCAACAUCUUCCUAAUCUUUCUAGUGCAGUCUAAUAUAUAAAUUUUACGAAAAACAUAGGUUUUUUUUAACCUGCAGUGCUCUUUGAGAAUGUAUAUUGAUUCCUAAAGAUUGGCAUUGGUUUUCAUAAAAUGUUAUAAACUAUUAUCUUAGCAUCUUACCAGGAAUUUCCACUAAAUUCACCAAUUUAUGAUUUGUGAAAUCUAAUUCUUUUACUUUUUGAAAAUUUUCAUAUGAAUUUCCCAUUUUCAGUGUUGUAGCACCUCUCUCUUCCUCUAAGAUCCUCCAAACUCACCAAAAGCCAUGAUCUUAUUGCACCAGCAGUUUUAUUUAUUCAAUCCUUCAACAAGUAGUUAUUGAACUUCUAUAAUGUGCCAGGCUCUGGGCUUGGCACUGGAGCUUGCCUUAUGCCAAACAGAUAUAAUCGAUCCAUUCAAAGUGUCCUAAUUACACAUUGAGGGACCAACUAUAUCUUUUCUCAUUGUAACCUUGGAGCAAAAGCAAAUUCAUUAAAAUAACUUUACAUUAUAGUACCACAAAAAAAAAAUGAACAGAACCAGAAAGCAUUUUUUACAAAAAUUAACGGAACAGCGUCAUAGAGGGGAAAAGGAUGUGAGAUCAUGGUGCCCUACCUUCAAUAGGGUGGCCAGAAAACACCUCUCUGAAGAAGCAGCAUCUGACCUAAGACCUAAAGAACAAGGAGUCAGUGAUGCAGAGAACCUUAGGAGAUGGCUUCCAAUCUGAGAAAACAGGUGUACAAGCAGCAUCGUGCCAGUACCUGCUCAACUUUUGGAAAGGACUCAGGAAGCUUUUACUCACGAUGGAAGGCAAAGCGGGAGCAGGCACAUCACAUAGCAAGAGUGGAAGUAAGAGAGACACCAUGCUGUUUUAAACAAUCAGCUCCCAUGUGAACUAAUAGAGUGAGAACUCACUUAUUUCUGUAGCGAGGGCAUGAAGCCAUUUACAAGGGAUCCAUCCUCAUGACACAAACACCGCUAUCUCCCACCUCCAACACUGGGGAUGACAUUUCAACAUGAGAUUCGGAAGGGACAAAUAUCCAAACUAUAUCAUAUGGUUUGCAGAUAUUUUCUUCCACUCCUUGAGUUAUCUUUUCAUUUUGUUAAUUGUUUCCUUUGCUGUGCUGAAGCGUUUUAGUUUAAUGAAAUCCCAUUUGUCU